AGCGCGCUAUGGUCAAAACAUAAUAUUUCAGAACAAGUCCGAACGAACUGAAGGAGAGGAGGAGGAGGAGGAAUGGCGGACGCAGCCAGAGGCCUCGGGUCUUCGUCUCUCCCGGUGGCUAACGUGCAGGCGCUUGCGGAGUCUUGCAACGACAACGGAGCCGAUGCGCCGGUGCCCGGGAGGUACCUCAUCAAGGAUCCUAGCGCCGAGGAGGUCGUAGCCGCCGGCGACAGCGCCUGCACGAUUCCGGUCAUCGAUUUCCGCAAGCUGCUCGAUCCGGGGUCGUACGAGGAGGAGUGCGCCAGGCUGGGAGCCGCGUGCCACCACUGGGGAUUCUUCCAGCUCAUCAACCAUGGCGUUCCGGCCGAGGUGACUGGGAACCUGAUGAAGGACGUAGCUGGGUUCUUCAGGCAGCCGCUGGAAGCCAAGAAGGAGUGCGCGCAGCAGGCCGGCAGCAUCGAAGGCUACGGCCAGGCCUUCGUCGUGUCGGAGGACCAGAAGCUGGACUGGGCGGACAUGCUCUUCCUCAUCGUGCGGCCGAGGGAGGCCAGGGACAUGCGCUUCUGGCCGACGCGCCCUGAGUCCUUCAGGGAUUCCGUGGACGCGUACUCCUUGGAAGCUUCGAAGCUAGCGUACCGCCUGCUGGAGUUCAUGGCAAGGGGCGUGGGUGCCGACCCGGCGUCGCUGCAGGGCAUGUUCCAAGGGCAGGUGCAGGGCAUGCGGGUGAACUACUACCCGCCGUGCCGGCAGGCGGCGGACCAAGUGCUGGGCCUGUCGCCGCACAGCGACCCCAACGGGCUCACCCUGCUCCUGCAGAUGAGCCACGACGUGCACGGGCUUCAGGUCAGCAAGGACGGCAGGUGGUUCCCCGUGCAGGCUCUCCCCGGCGCCUUCGUUGUCAACGACUCAACGUCGGUGACGCGCUCGAGAUCGUUAGCAACGGAGCGUUCAGGAGUGUUGAGCACAGGGCCGUGAUACACCCGACCAAGGAGCGGAUUUCGGCGGCGCUGUUCCACUUCCCGGACCAGGAUCGGAUGCUUGGUCCUCUGCCGGAGCUGGUGAAGGAAGGCGACACAGUGCGGUACGCAACGACGACUUACCAAGAGUUCAUGAAGCGAUUCUUCGCUGCAAAGCUCGAUGGAAAGAAGCUCAUAGAGAGAUUCAAGCUACAGUAGUAGCUACGACCUCUCAGCUCGAACAAAAAAUAAAUUCACUUGUAAUUAUUAAUAAUGGCCAGUUAUUGAACGGUUUGCUUGUCUAAAAUGUUAACGCGCGCAACCUCGGGUUCGGGCAUUACUGUGUUACAUCCGUUUGCUUCCUGCAUACUGUCAGAGAAUUACCCUGAGCAUAGUGGUACUCGCAUGAGUUAUCCAAAUGAUAAAUUUGGUA